CAGCAGCCGCGGUAAUACGGAGGGCGCGAGCGUUACCCGGAUUUACUGGGCGUAAAGCGUGCGUAGGCGGUUUGUUAAGUCUGUUGUGAAAUCCCCGGGCUCAACCUGGGAAUGGCAAUGGAUACUGGCAAGCUAGAGUGUGUCAGAGGAUGGUGGAACUCCCGGUGUAGCGGUGAAAUGCGUAGAGAUCGGGAGGAACAUCAGUGGCGAAGGCGGCCAUCUGGGACAACACUGACGCUGAGGCACGAAAGCGUGGGGAGCAAACAGGAUUAGAUACCCCGGUAGUCCCUGUCUCUUAUAC
rnacentral:rRNA from 1 species